AUUGAACGCUGGCGGCAGGCCUAACACAUGCAAGUCGAACGAGUGGCGGACGGGUGAGUAAUGUCUGGGAACCUGCCUGAUGGAGGGGGAUAACUACUGGAAACGGUAGCUAAUACCGCAUACUAUCGGAUGUGCCCAUAUGGGAUUAGCUAGUAGGUGGGGUAACGGCUCACCUAGGCGACGAUCCCUAGCUGGUCUGAGAGGAGGACCAGCCACACUGGAACUGAGACACGGCCCAGACUCCUACGGGAGGCAGCAGUGGGGAAUUUUGGACAAGGGGCGAAAGCCUGAUGCAGCCAGCCCGCGUGUAUGAUGAAGGCCUUCGGGUUGUAAAGUACUUUCAGCGGGGAGGCGGUAUCUGCAGAAUAAGCACCGGCUAACUACGUGCCAGCCGCCGCGGUAAUUC
rnacentral:rRNA from 1 species